UGAUAUUAGUCGUAAGGGUCAAGUGGGUUAUCUCGUGAUAUUAGUCGUAAGGGUCAUGGGUAUAAUAAGGAGUUUAGAGGGAGUGAAUUUAAUCAAUGGUGACCACUUAGAUUUAACAUCUUACUCGUGUUUUUGGUGUCUAGAUGUUGUAUGGGUCAAGUGGUGGGUUGUCUCGUGAGAUUAGUCGUAAGGGUCAUGGGUAUAAUAAGGAGUUCAGAGGGAGUGAAUUCAAUCAAUAGCGACCACUUAGAUUUAAUAUCCUACAGCUUAUUUUGGGGGUCGAGAUAUUGUAGGGUCGAGCAAGUUUUUAGACGAGUUGCAUUCAAUUGGUAUCUUUUAUGACAACUCUUUUAUUACUAAAACUUCGAUCAUUGAUGUAUCAACAAAUUUAGCUAUUGAUCUGAAAUUCAACCUGAAGUUAAUGCAUAUCAAUCAUUCACUAUAAA